ensembl:lncRNA
GCUUCUGUGUACCUUCAAUGCAGCAGAAUUUUAUAUGGAGUGUAGAUUGAUGUGGGAUGAAAAAAUUAAUUUAAAGCAGUUUAACGUAAGGCAGCAACAUAACAAAAUGUGAAAAAAUGAAGGGGUAUGAAUUAUUUCGCAAGGCACUGUACAUUUUCUGAAUUGGCAUUGAGGUCCAGAUGGUGUAAGAAACAUAGAUGGUUGAAAUACAAAAUAAACAUUUUAUUUGAGAGUAUGGACACUAAACUGCUCUAUAAUGCUUUUCUUGAGUAAAGUAGUUCUAUGAUAUACACAUUUAUAUUUAAAUAGAACCCUCAAAUCUUUUUUAUCAUAAACAGGAGAUGAGACGCCAAUAUUUAGAGGCACAGGAAAAGAGUCGACUACAGGUAGAUGUUAUUUUAAAAAAUAUAACUAUUGUUUUGUUUUGUUGAAGUAAAAAAUGUACUGCAUUCACGUAACCUUGGUCGCAUAAUAGGCAAUUGAAGACAGACGGAAGAGGAUUGCAAGUCACGAGGAGCCCAUUGAUGGUGUGCCCAUCAAAUUCAAGUUUCCUCAUGGAUCCGAAAAAAUUCGAAAAUUCAUUUUGUCAGAGUCAAUUCAGAUCUUAUUUUACUUUGUUGGUCAGGAUGACCUGUCCAGUGAAGUGUUUUAUGUUCAAGAUGCGACAUCAUCUGCACCUCUUGAAAAUAACCUUACAGGAACACUGAAUGAUUACAACAUCAAGGGUCAUUCAACUCUUUAUGUUGUUUGGAUUUCACCACUAGAUUCCCAUGAAAGUCAAGGUAAACAGAACGAAGCAAGCAUUCAAGUGAAUUCUGGUAAAGUCCAUUUCACCUCAUCCUUUUCCAACCAGCUUGCAUCACCACAUGAACCGACUACUUCUUUGCCACUGAAUGAUUGUCAUUCCCCAUCACCCCCAAACUGGUCACCUGCUCCUUCACCUUCUCACACAUAUCACUGGUCACCUGAACGCUCUCUUCCCACUCAGCCAUCCUCUGUAACAACUGACAAUUGUGAAAAUAUUUUGGAUCAAGUUGAUCUGCAGAUGAUUUUGAAGAAGCUUCAUAGCAGAGUUGAUCUCUCAUGUUGUCCUACAAGCAAUCAAAUAAAUGUAUGUCGAGACAGCAUAUUACAAGGUAGCCUGCAAGCUUUCAAACGAAGGCACUUUAAUCCAGAAGCAAGGCUGGAUGUGAUUUUUGUGGACUUGAUGGGGUUGGAGAAGGAGCUGUAGAUGAAGGUGGACCAACCAGGGAAUUCCUACGCUUGCUAAUGAGGGAAAUCCAGAGGUCCAAAAUAUUUGAAGGACCGGAAGACAAAAGACUACUGGCUCUUGAUACUCAUGCUCUUGAGAAUGGCUUGUAUAUGACUAUUGCAAAAAUGAUUGCAGUGUGCAUAGUUCAUGGUGGAGUUGGCCCUCAUUUUUUUUCUGAUCAUCUUUUUAUGCAACUCUGUGGGUCAGUGUACACUUCCUGUUUCCCUUGAGGAAAUAGCAGACAAGCUUCAGAGAAAAACUCUCAAAGGUUAUUGUAACUUUAGACUUGUCUCAUCUACACAGGGAUUUUUUAUUGUAUCAUUUGUAAUGGGUGCUUUGUGAUUUCAUGGCAUAACAAUUUUCUAAUUAUUUACUUGUAGAUUAAAGAAGCAGACUCUGUUGAACACGCAAAUUCUGCAAUCUCAGAUGCUGGAGACAGUCUGUACAUGAUGGGAGCACUUAGGUACAUCUCAUCUCUUGAAGAGAGGGAUUCCCUGGUCCAAUCUGCAGCAGAAUACUUUGUGAAUGGGCGGACAAAUUUGGCUCUCAGACAAUUUGAAGAGGGUUUCAAAACACUUGGUCUGAUUCAAGAGCUCAAGAACCAUCCUGACAUUUUUGAGGACUUGUUCAUCAAUGCAGUCAGACCACUUGAGGCAAAAGAUCUGUCCACUCUUUUUAAGGUGGACUUUUCACCCCUUGGUAGCAACAAAAGGGAGCUGGAAAAUAAGACAGUCUGUUUCUGGAGAGACUGGUUAAUUGAUGUAGAAGAAGGUGACUGCAAUCGGUUGACACUGUCAAUGGUAAUGGAGUUUGCUUCAGGAGCCUCAUCUGUGCCUCCACUAGGAUUCACCCAUCAGCCAAAAAUCUAA